GACGAACGCUGGCGGCGUGCUUAACACAUGCAAGUCGAACGGUAAGGCCCUUCGGGGUACACGAGUGGCGAACGGGUGAGUAACACGUGGGUGAUCUGCCCUGCACUUCGGGAUAAGCCUGGGAAACUGGGUCUAAUACCGGAUGGGACUCCGGACUGCAUGGUCUGGGGUGGAAAGCUUUUGCGGUGUGGGAUGGGCCCGCGGCCUAUCAGCUUGUUGGUGGGGUGAUGGCCUACCAAGGCGACGACGGGUAGCCGGCCUGAGAGGGUGACCGGCCACACUGGGACUGAGAUACGGCCCAGACUCCUACGGGAGGCAGCAGUGGGGAAUAUUGCACAAUGGGCGCAAGCCUGAUGCAGCGACGCCGCGUGAGGGAUGACGGCCUUCGGGUUGUAAACCUCUUUCAGCACAGACGAAGCGCAAGUGACGGUAUGUGCAGAAGAAGGACCGGCCAACUACGUGCCAGCAGCCGCGGUAA
rnacentral:rRNA from 1 species